rnacentral:rRNA from 1 species
GGCUCAUUAAAUCAGUUAUCGUCUAUUUGAUAGUACCUUACUACUCGGAUAACCGUGGUAAUUCUAGAGCUAAUACGUGCUGAAAACCCCGACUUCGGAAGGGGUGUAUUUAUUAGAUUAAAAGCCAAUGCCCCCCGGGGCCCCUUGGUGAUUCAUGAUAACUCCUCGAAUCGCACGGCCUUGCGCCGGCGAUGGUUCAUUCAAAUUUCUGCCCUAUCAACUUUCGACGGCUGGGUCUUGGCCAGCCGUGGUGACAACGGGUAACGGAGGGUUAGGGCUCGACCCCGGAGAAGGAGCCUGAGAAACGGCUACUACAUCCAAGGAAGGCAGCAGGCGCGCAAAUUACCCAAUCCCGACGCGGGGAGGUAGUGACAAUAAAUACUGAUACAGGGCUCUUUCGGGUCUUGUAAUUGGAAUGAGUACAAUUUAAUUCCCUUAACGAGGAACAAUUGGAGGGCAAGUCUGGUGCCAGCAGCCGCGGUAAUUCCAGCUCCAAUAGCGUAUAUUAAAGUUGUUGCAGUUAAAAAGCUCGUAGUUGAACCUUGGGCCUGGCUGGCCGGUCCGCCUCACCGCGUGCACUGGUCCGGCCGGGCCUUUCCCUCUGGGGAACCGCAUGCCCUUCGCUGGGCGUGCCGGGGAACCAGGACGUUUACUUUGAAAAAAUUAGAGUGUUCAAAGCAGGCUUAUGCUCGGAUACAUUAGCAUGGAAUAAUGGAAUAGGACGUGCGGUUCUAUUUUGUUGGUUUCUAGGACCGCCGUAAUGAUUAAUAGGGACAGUCGGGGGCAUCCGUAUUCAGUUGUCAGAGGUGAAAUUCUUGGAUCUACUGAAGACGAACUACUGCGAAAGCAUUUGCCAAGGAUGUUUUCAUUAAUCAGGAACGAAAGUUAGGGGAUCGAAGACGAUCAGAUACCGUCGUAGUCUUAACCAUAAACUAUGCCGACUAGGGAUCGGACGGUGUUGCUUUUUGACCCGUUCG